CUUGAGCUCUCUCUAGCCGAGAACUUGCUGGAAGGCAGACCUGAGCUGAGAGCAUUGGUAAAGCCAGAAUUCUACGUGAGGAAACAACUGGAUCAGCACGAGCAGCAAUGCUAGGGGGCGGCCAGACACCGCUGGAUCAUGCUAUGAGCUCCGCAAAGGCUAAAGAGCUGGAGUGAAUUCGUACCACGCUCUCGGCCCUGGAAAAUCAAAUGAGCUCCACAGCCUACGGGAGGGGAUCCCUACCGUGGAAAGCUCUUGAGUUCCAUCUGUAACCUGCUUCUUUCAGGGAGAGUCGCCUGGUGGGGGUUCCUAGGGCCACUUUGCCCUGGACACUUCUUGGACCCGAUACGCAGUCCCAGCUGUUCCAUCGUGCUCUAGGGUCAUUGGUAUCUCCGGGGUCUUCAGCAGCUGUGCCACCUGGGAGGCCCAGGCACUUCCUGGUGUGGUGCCUCUGAGCCUCAUUAAUGCCACCCCAGGUUUGAAACCUGUGACACUUCAGCUUCUUCUGAGUGGAAGUUUCACCUUUGCCCCCUGAAGGAAAGGUUUGCUAAGCAAAGAAAAUUUGGGGGAUAAGAUCCUUGUGGAGGUAAGAGUUGAUCUUCAACUGCCACCAGAACCCAUCUCCUGACAGGCCUCUGCAUCACGGUACCUGCAUGUCGCUUAGAGCUGAGGCACAUCUGGUUUAGGACGAGGGCUUGGCAAGGCAGCCUCUUGGAAGCACCUUAUCAGAGUUUACUUUGGAUUUAACAUUAGGCUUCUUUAGAGACAGCCUGAUGAAUUCAUGGUGGUGACCCCACCACCUGGAGCCACCUAAAAUGAGAAGAUUUACUGUACCACAUUACUGCCACACCAUGUCAGGCAGUAAGUGAGAAACUCCAAACCAGCUGCUGUAAAAAAAAAUCAACAACAGAGCAUUCAUAGAGCAGACACUUUGUACUGCUGCACGAUAAACGAUCCCAUUGAGUGCAGGCAGCCUCCGGUUCAUCCACCUGCUCCCUGUCUGUCCCGACCCUGGGCCGGUUACACUUGUGGCCUCCUCCCCGUGAGAACCCUGGAGCGGCAGAAACAGCCUGAGCCUCUGCACUGCUCCUCUGCCCGCAACACUGUAGAGUACUCCUCAAAUGCCUCCUCCUCCAGCUGGCUGAGUUCGUAACUUCCUAUCUGCUCUCUGCCCAGCGAGUGUUCUCAAGCAGAGUGACCAGCCUCGCGCUGGCAGUUCUCAUCAGCCAGGCCCAUCAUUCUAAAAUCUCGAAAAUCAGCUAUAUGGACCUGGCCGUAGAGGCCUGCCAGCGCUGGAGGACACGGGAGAAAAAGCUUAGGCCUUUAACAGAAGCAAGGCCGUUGUGCCACUGGUCUUCCUGGACCAUGAGGAACUUGCCCUGUUGCUUUGCCUAGGACUGAGCUGACAGCUUCUUUCUGAUUUGCAGCCAUUGUUCAGAGCAAGGCAGGGUUCUCCACCAUUGCAGCGCGUGAGUUAGGCAGUGGUUCCUAGGGUCUCCCAGGGCCCCACACUGGACAGCAUCAUUAGCACCACACCCGCCACCCACAGCAAGGUAGCCAACAGAACCUUUAGAGAAGAGCCUUCAGCAGCUGGAAUGUCGAGGAGAGCGGUAGCGUGUGAGGCCUGGCAGAGCUAUGACGGCGUUCUUUCCAUAGUGCCCUGAGCCCGCUCCAAGGCCCGUGACAGACCCUCAUUCAAAGCCCAUUGCUUCAAAGUGCGCAGUGCCACCUGCGAACUGUGUGGCUGGGAGGCGGGUUUGGUCAUAGGUGUUUGAGUAGGAGGGUCCACAGGAAGGUGCUGCGGGGGCCAGUCCUGGGUUGAUGAUACCGUAAGACCUUGUGCAGAGAGGGACUGUUAGUGUCUUUCUGGGGUCCCCCAUGGGCCACCGGCGUGGGGGCUGGGAGGGCUGAGGAGGGGAGAUCCUGAGUUGGAUUACGAGACUGGCCCAGCCUCACGUGCGAGGUGUUGAAAAAGAAACCUUCCAGAGGGCCCCUCCUCAAUCCUGUUGUACUAGAUUCAGAGGGUUGGGUGGAGGCUCUCCUGAAGGCCUCUCAGUAACACCGAACCCACGGGCCAUGCGUCAGGCGCUAAGAUGGGGUGGUUGGUGCAAGAGGAGAGCCACCGUUUUCUGCCUGGUCCCCUACCACGGGCAGAGGGCAUGGGCAUGGGACCAUCACCUGCCUGGUCCCCUACAGUGCUCAGAGGGCAUGGGCAUGGGGUCUGGCUGCGCUGUUCCUCUGUUCUGUUUCCAGGGCUCCCCGCUGCUCAGGACCACCGCAGCCGCCUCACCUCGGCCUUGAAACCUGCAGGACCCAGCACCGCCCACCGCCAUGCCUGCUCCCCCUCCUGAGGCUCUUCCCGCCCUCUCUGCCGCAUCCACAGGGAAGCCCCCCACUCCUCACUUGGCUUCACGGCACCUGAGCAUCUCGGUCUUUGCUGGACGAUUCGUUCGUCGUCUGACUCUGCUAGACUGCGAGCUCCAAGCUGCCUUGUGCAUUGUUAUGUCAUCUAGCUUGUCUCCACACGUGACACACAGCAGGUGCCUAAUAAACUUGUGCAGAAAGA